CGUAACAAGGUUUCCGUAGGUGAACCUGCGGAAGGAUCAUUAAA
rnacentral:rRNA from 2 species